GGUCUCCCUCUGCGGGGUAAUUGAUCUGGGGGCCCCUGAGAUCGAUUGCCCCACAGAGGGAGGCC
rnacentral:pre_miRNA from 1 species